AUUGAACGCUGGCGGCAGGCCUAACACAUGCAAGUCGAACGAGUGGCGGACGGGUGAGUAAUGUCUGGGAAACUGCCCGAUGGAGGGGGAUAACUACUGGAAACGGUAGCUAAUACCGCAUACCAUCGGAUGUGCCCAGAGGGGAUUAGCUUGUAGGUGAGGUAACGGCUCACCUAGGCGACGAGCCCUAGCUGGUCUGAGAGGAUGACCAGCCACACGGUAACUGGUACACGGUCCAGACUCCUACGGGAGGCAGCAGUGGGGAAUAUGGCACAGUGGGCGCAAGCCUGAUGUAGCGACGCCGCGUGUAUGAAGAAGGCCUUCGGGUGGUAAAGUACUUUCAGCGGGGAGGCGUUACCCGCAGAAGAAGCACCGGCUAACUCCGUGCCAGAAGCCGCGGUAAUAC
rnacentral:rRNA from 1 species